rnacentral:lncRNA from 1 species
AUUUAUUUAUUUAUUUAUUUAUUUAUUUAUUUAUUUAUUUAUUUUUAAAUAAGUAGUUUUUAAAUGAGCAAUGGAUGGUGUUGCCAUAGAGCAUGGUGGAUGUGAAGCAGUGCAAGUAGUUUAACUCAAGGGUUCGAGGUCCUGCAUGAUUGGGCCUCUGCCUCCCUCCCCAGCUGUGUCUCCCAUGGACUGCUCCCCUUCUAUCAUGCUGAGGAGUUUGAACUUUACCCAGAAGGCAGUGAGGACCCACUCCCCCCAGGGGAAUUUUAAUCAUGGCCACGACAUGAUCAGCUUUGUGUUUUAGAAAGAUAACUCUGGCUGCAGUGUGAAGGAUGGAUGAGAGAAGGACAACUCUGGAGUUGAGAAGAUCAUUUAGAUCAGUAGUAGUAGUUCAGAUGGGACAAUGCACAUGAUAAUCAUCUGGUAGUUUCCCAGUGCCAAACCCAGACCAUUUAAAUCAGUAUCUCUGGAGAUGGGAUCCAAAUAUCAGAAGCUUCUUAAUUGUCCUGGUGAUUCCAGUGAGAAGUGAAGGUUUAGACAUUUAGAUAGUUGUAGACUGAGAAAAGGGGGCACAGAUACAAAGGCCAUUAGAUGUAGGGGAACAACAUUAUUAGUUAACAGAGCAGGAACAAUGAAGAUAGGAAAGGAAUUAAACUACUUACAGGUUCUGGCUGGAGUCAUGGAAAUUGGGAGAUAGUGUGACCAAACUUUCUGAUUUGCCAAGGAGUAUCAUGGUUUUAUACUGAAUCAGGUUCAUCAUCCUAGGGGACUUGAUCACCAGCCCAGGAGGUAUCACCAUCCAAGACAGGCAGUGAAGGAUUAUGGUGCGGUUGGGGAAAGAUGAUUAAUGUUAAACACACAUGACAGCUGCUGAGUAUUGGUGAUUAACACCAACCUAAAGCUCAGAGCUGAGGAUCAAAUGGGCUAACGACCCCACAUUCUAAAUUCCUAGGAUGAUAGCUGUUGGGGCCAUCCAUCCUUCAACAGGGCCUGCUAAGACAAACCAGGAAGCAGAACCAGCACCACCACCUCACCCUCUAAUACAAGAUGAGGUUGAAAAGGAGAAGGCCAUUGCCUUUUGUAGAAGUACCCACUCAUGUAGAAUGCUGUAUGCGUUGGUACAGGAGGCGGGAGAGAAGAGAGCCACUAACUGGAUAUGAAAAUAGAGGUUUGAAACAAAUCACCUAAUCUUAAUGACAGGAAGUCAUUGUUUGAACAGCUGUCAGUAACUAUUCUAAUAACUGAGAGUGACUGAAAAAGUAUAGCAUUGGGCUAAAACAUUACGGAAGUCCACUUUCUAUGGAAAAGGGGAUUUUGACAUAGCGCUUAUUGCCAGGUCAUGAGCAACUUUAUGGAGCAGCCAGGAAGUGAGACACCGAAGCCUGCUACCAACAGUAAAGUGGACCCCCCCACCCCCCCGGCUCCCUCAGAUGACCGUGGUAGACAGCUUGCCUGCAGUGUCAUGGGAAAUCAUGAUACACAUCCUGGAGCUUUGGGUCACCUGAUCUGCUAGACAGAUCUUGGUUUUGUCAAACACAACUGCUGUUGCCUUGAAUAAGGACGAAUACAUCUCAGGUCCAAGAGAGAGCCCCAAGGCCUUAGAAAGCCAGGAAACAAAACAGACUGUAGUCAGGUCUGUCUCCUGCCUGGAUCUGCUUCCUCCACCUAUCCUGUGAUAGAGUUGCCCUGCACGGCAGGUUGUGCUCCUACUGGAGACAGAUGUAAAGAUCCUCAGAUGCUGUUGCUCUCUUUCAGAGGCUUUUUGUGAAUGGAAUUAGCUAGCUUAUUUAUCAUUGAAAUAAGGAAUAGUUUUUAAAACAAAUCUACAGGACGCCUGGUGGCUCAGUUGGUUAAGUGUCCAACUUAAUUUCUGCUCAGGUCAUGAUCUCAGGGUCAUGAGACCAAGCCCUGUGUGGGGCUCUGCAUGGAGCAUGGUGUAUGCUGGAGCUUCUCUCCCUUUGCCCCUCUUGCUUGUGCUCUCUCUCUUUCUCUCUCAAAUAAAUACAUCUUUUUUUUUAAAAAAAAAAAUCUACAUUAUGGGCUCAUUUGGGGAAAACAGCUAGCUACUCCAAGAUUCCAGAGGAUAAGGGGAAUUAAAAAUCUGAUCCCAGUCCAUGACAUUUCUAGAUUGAAAGUUGUCCUAUGUCUAACUCAAUUGAGAUAAGUCUUUGGAAUAUGUGUGAAAGUUUCCAAGUUUCCUUGUACUUGGCUUAAGGCUUAAGUGGUUUCAUCUUGGGGAUGUGUUUCAUACAGGAUGAAUCUAGAUGCCCUUUUUCUAUAUAUAAUUUGUACACUUGGG